rnacentral:lncRNA from 1 species
UUUGAUUCCUUAUAUCUCCUUGAUUUUUUUUUGAGAGACAGGUAGCACGCUACCUGCUUCGUUUAUUUCAUUUAGAAAUAAAUUUAGCUGAAAAUGUGAAUCAACUAGGAUUCGAACUUGGGUCUCGGGUACCAACCACCAAGCCCUUUGCCACUUGCUCUAGGGACGGUCGAUUAUAUCUCCUUGAUUGAUUAAAAAAUAUUUAUAUAUU